rnacentral:misc_RNA from 1 species
UCCGGUUUGUCACCGGCAGUCCCAUUAGAGUGCCCAACUGAAUGUAGCAACUAAUGGCAAGGGUUGCGCUCGUUGCGGGACUUAACCCAACAUCUCACGGCACGAGCUGACGACAGCCAUGCACCACCUGUGCGGGCUCCGAGGAGCGCCGUGUUUCCACGGUUUCACCCCGCAUGUCAAGCCCAGGUAAGGUUCUUCGCGUCGCAUCGAAUUAAGCCACAUGCUCCGCCGCUUGUGCGGGCCCCCGUCAAUUCCUUUGAGUUUUAACCUUGCGGCCGUACUCCCCAGGCGGAUGACUUAACGCGUUAGCUGCGCCACCGAAACGCUAAGCGCCCCGACAGCUAGUGAACAUCGUUUACGGCGUGGACUAC